rnacentral:tRNA from 1 species
GGUAGAUAAAGCAGCUGCAUGGGAGUGGGGACUAGUUUUGAAAACUAGGUUUCGGAGCAAAUCUGGAUGGGGUUCGAGUCCUCUGUCUACCGCCA